UACGUAGGAGGCAAGCGUUGUCCGGAAUUACUGGGUGUAAAGCGCGUGUAGGCGGCAGGCCAAGUCUGUGGUGAAAUCGCUCGGCUCAACUGGGCGGGGUCCAUGGAAACUGGUCAGCUGGAGGACGGUAGAGGUGAGUGGAAUUCCCGGUGUAGUGGUGAAAUGCGUAGAUAUCUGGAGGAACACCGGUGGCGAAAGCGGCUCACUGGACCGUCUCUGACGCUGAGGUGCGAAAGCUAGGGUAGCAAACGGG
rnacentral:rRNA from 1 species